UUUAGGCAAAAGAUAUCAAGUUUUGAUGAAAAAAGAAGGAAGAAGGAAAAUGGACCAAAACAGACCAAAACAGACCUUCAAAUGAACUCUAAAAGGUGCAAUAAAAUUGUAUAUCAUCUUAAAGUUGUCUUUUGUAUCCUAUUAAAUUGUUUGAAUGCUUAGAUCAUGAGUAUAUGAUCAGAUAUUAGUCAACACUGCAUUUUAUAAUGAUACACUGAAAAAAGGAUUUUUCGAAGAAAUAAGACUGAAAUCGCCGUAGGAUAUGGCCUUACAUUAUAGUGAUUUUCUCUGAAACUAUAGAUCUGACUGAAACAAAACUUGGCAGUUAUGCUUGAAAUAACUUGCAAUUGGAGGGAAAAAAAUUACAUUAAGUUUAUUUGACAUUUAGGUGUUCUUUA
rnacentral:lncRNA from 1 species